CCUACGGGUGGCAGCAGUGAGGAAUAUUGGUCAAUGGGCGCGAGCCUGAACCAGCCAAGUCGCGUGAGGGAAGACGGUCCUAUGGAUUGUAAACCUCUUUUGUCGGGGAGCAAAAGACGCCACGCGUGGCGUUCCGAGAGUACACGAAGAAAAAGCAACGGCUAACUCCGUGCCAGCAGCGGCGGUAAUACGGAGGAUGCGAGUGUUAUCAGGAUUUAUUGGGUUGAAAGGGUGGGCAGGCGGAAGAUAAAGUCAGCGGUAAAACUGAGAGGUUAAACCUCUUCGAGCUGUUGAAACUGGGGUUCUUGAGUGAGUGAGAGGUAUGCGGAAUGCGUGGUGUAGCGGUGAAAUGCAUAGAUAUCACGAAGAACUCCGAUUGCGAAGGCAGCAUACCGGAGCUCAACUGACGCUGAGGCACGAAAGUGUGGGUAUCGAACAGGAUUAGAUACCCCAGUAGUC
rnacentral:rRNA from 1 species